UGCAGUCGACGGUGAAGCCCAGCUUGCUGGGUGGAUCAGUGGCGAACGGGUGAGUAACACGUGAGCAACCUGCCCCUGACUCUGGGAUAAGCGCUGGAAACGGCGUCUAAUACUGGAUAUGUACUACGGCCGCAUGGUCUGUGGUUGGAAAGAUUUUUCGGUUGGGGAUGGGCUCGCGGCCUAUCAGCUUGUUGGUGAGGUAAUGGCUCACCAAGGCGUCGACGGGUAGCCGGCCUGAGAGGGUGACCGGCCACACUGGGACUGAGACACGGCCCAGACUCCUACGGGAGGCAGCAGUGGGGAAUAUUGCACAAUGGGCGCAAGCCUGAUGCAGCAACGCCGCGUGAGGGAUGACGGCCUUCGGGUUGUAAACCUCUUUUAGCAGGGAAGAAGCGAAAGUGACGGUACCUGCAGAAAAAGCGCCGGCUAACUACGUGCCAGCAGCCGCGGUAAUACGUAGGGCGCAAGCGUUAUCCGGAAUUAUUGGGCGUAAAGAGCUCGUAGGCGGUUUGUCGCGUCUGCUGUGAAAUCCCGAGGCUCAACCUCGGGCCUGCAGUGGGUACGGGCAGACUAGAGUGCGGUAGGGGAGAUUGGAAUUCCUGGUGUAGCGGUGGAAUGCGCAGAUAUCAGGAGGAACACCGAUGGCGAAGGCAGAUCUCUGGGCCGUAACUGACGCUGANGAGCGAAAGGGUGGGGAGCAAACAGGCUUAGAUACCCUGGUAGUCCACCCCGUAAACGUUGGGAACUAGUUGUGGGGUCCAUUCCACGGAUUCCGUGACGCAGCUAACGCAUUAAGUUCCCCGCCUGGGGAGUACGGCCGCAAGGCUAAAACUCNNAGGAAUUGACGGGGACCCGCACAAGCGGCGGANCAUGCGGAUUAAUUCGAUGCAACGCGAAGAACCUUACCAAGGCUUGACAUAUACGANAACGGNNCANAAAUGGUCAACUCUUUGG
rnacentral:rRNA from 1 species